CUGCAAGAUAAUGCUUGAAUUUUAUUGUUUUGUUUACUUUUGUAUGGAUAAAGAGUAGAAAUCUGUCUAUAGCAACAAUUAGCUGGUUUAAUUGAUGCUUCUGUUUGCUCUAAUAUCUUAUGGUAGGGUUAUACAUUCUGUUAUUCUGGAAAAUACUCAGCCAAAAUGAGAAUAUCCAGAAUUUUUUAAUUCUACAAUUUAUAAUUAAAUUCAUGUAGUGUCUUUCAUAAAAUUCACCUUGUUCUCAUUCUGUCAACAUGGUUAAGGAGGCGUCUUUGAAAUUAGGCCAGCAACAUCCACUCCCUGCAUUGCUAACUCCAGUGGUCGUCUUGCAGCCGUCAUCUUACUUGAUUUAGCAGGACUUGACAGAGUGGACAAUUCUGUUUCUUUUGAAAUACCUUUUUCCAGGUUAAAAGACAUCCCAAAUACUGGAUAUUUUCCAAACCUACUGGAUGGUCUCUCUUAGUUUUUGUUGUUUGGUUCCUUUUCAUCUCCAUAAUCCCUGAACAACUGGACUUCCCUCAGGAUUCCUUCCUUGAUUCUGCAAUUCUUGUGGAGUCAUAAGCUACCCUAAAACUCAGUGGCUUAAAACAACAAGCAUUAUUGCUCAGGAGUGCGUCUCUCCUCUGAGUGGUUCUGGUGAUCUGGAACAGGUUCUGCUGACUUGACUGCUUACUCAUACAUAUCUGUUCAGCUGGUGUCUUGCCUGCUGGGUAGUUGGUUACAACAGCAGCACUCACAUCUCUGGAAGCUAGCAGGCUAGUUGGCCAGGACAAUAGAGGUGACUGAGCUACAUGAUUCUCAGCAUCCAGCAGCUAGUCUGGGCUUGUUCAUAUGACAAGGGCAAGCUUCCAAAAGAGAAAUCAGAAGCAUAUAAGCUGCCUAGAGGCCUGGCUUGACACUUCCAUUGCAAUCUAUGGGCCAAAGCAAGUCUCAGGCUGGCCUAGGUUCAAAGGGAUUUGAGUAGAUGCCACCUCUUGAUGGAAGGAACUAUUGUUACUGAAACUGAAGUGGGUUCCCUCCUGGUGAGCUAAGUCAGACUCUACACCAGAAGCAGUCGUCUCACAAAGUAAAGCAUAUUUGCUGCAAAUAGGAGAUCAUGAGGAAUCACUUCCAGAGUCAUGGCAUCCCGGAACAAAGGGAAGCAGGGACAUUCACUUUGGAUGAGGAAUGAAUAUUCAAAAGGGAAAGGUGAGUAUUCUCUUGCACAGGCUCAGAUGGAAAACACGCUUCCACAUACACUGCAGGUUAUGGCAAUAAGGCCUAAGCUCCUCCUGGAGAGAUCUGAACCUAAAAAAUAAGGCAAAAGUCACAGGCAUAGCUCUUGUGGUGAAGCCCAGCCCAGUUCGGGGUGGUUGGUGAUGGUAUCUCCU
rnacentral:lncRNA from 1 species